ACAGAUUCUGGAUGUCCUAUCUUGAAUUUCAAGACCCAAGGCCAAAUUGUGAUGAUGUUCCAUGUGCAAUGUGUCCCCAGUAAGAGAAGAAGGAGGCAGCACAGGACCACGAGCACAGAGCUGAGGCUGGGAACCAAAGAGAAGGAACUAAGUGACAUGUCCAAGGACACUUGAAGAAAGACUGUGGUGAGGCAGACUUGGAAAUAAGCCUUACAACUCGCAGACAAGCCCCAAAUAUCAGACUCUUUAACAGGACAAAGAUGCUGCUGGUUGGACAAGCAAGCCAUGACUGCGUGAUCAUGAAGCAUGGGACAGACUGCUUAUAGUCUAACCACAGCAAAGAUUUUACU